rnacentral:rRNA from 1 species
UACGAAGGGGGCUAGCGUUGUUCGGAAUUACUGGGCGUAAAGCGUGCGCAGGCGGCUUCUCAAGUCAGAGGUGAAAUCCUGGAGCUCAACUCCAGAACUGCCUUUGAUACUGAAAGUCUUGAGUAUGGGAGAGGUGAGUGGAACUGCGAGUGUAGAGGUGAAAUUCGUAGAUAUUCGCAAGAACACCAGUGGCGAAGGCGGCUCACUGGCCCAUAACUGACGCUGAGGCACGAAAGCGUGGGGAGCAAACAGGG